UAUCAGAAAGACAACCGCCGAACUUAUCAGUUGGAGACGAAACGCGGCUCGAAGAGGUCAUGGCUUCGGUAGAAGUCAGAUCAAACCGCCGUGGUCUCCAGGGCUCCAUCGACUGCCUUGCUGAUGGCAGGACUUAACCGGUCAGUGUGAUGUGAGUGAGUGCGCCUGAUGAAAGCGCAGACAUAGGGGUGUAAUCAGUGCAGACUUGUUGGAAUAUAUCAAUCAGCCAAGACUAAUGAUACAUACAGGACACGAGUGACAACGUCGAGGUGUUCCGCCACAACUUGCACAGGGACUCCUACCACGACGGGGAAAAUCAGUCGAGUCCUUCCACUGCAAGUCGGUGAGACGAGAUGCAUCACUGGAGGAGCCGGAAUAGACGUCCGCGUGCCUUAUAAAGUCGGGAAGGAGGGGAGCCACACAUCACCCAGAACAGCACCGUCGACAUGAGGAAGACAACGAGAGGAGAGUGCCAGACCAGUAGCAGAUCUAGAAUAGCCAAUCGAUUGCGCUGCUACAACCAUAGUGAACCUAAAACUAGUUAGAGAAUUCACGGACUGGUUUUGAGGUGAUUUAUACCAUUACUAUGCAUUUAGUGUACCGGGUAUACAUUGCAGUAGUAGUUGAGUGUGCAUGUAAAUCAAAGAACCGCACAUAAGGUUAACCUCAGCGACGACGGACCGAAUCAAACCGGAGAUGGAUGUAGUUAAGGAGAGAACGGCCAUAGAAAUGUUCAGUACAAUUAUUCUGUAUCCAACCUGUGACCGAAGUUAGCGGGGUCAGCAUUAUGUAGUAACGUCAAAACACUUUAACAGUGUCCCGUGCCAAGUGUACGGAAAACCUUG